rnacentral:rRNA from 1 species
GGGCGUUUGACAUGGGCGCAGCCUGAUCCAGCCAUGCCGCGUGAGUGAUGAAGGCCUUCGGGUUGUAAAGCUCUUUUGCCGGGAAGAAAAUGACCCUACCUGUACCAAUAAGCUCCGGACCGCUCCGAGGUCCAGUACGCGCCGGUCUUACUACGAUGCCACCAGCCGCAGGAUAAUA